rnacentral:lncRNA from 1 species
AACGUAUGGUUCCUCUCUUUUCUCUCUCAUGAAACAAGCAUAAAAUGUCAUCUUUUCCGGUGAGACAAUCCAGUGAGACUCCACUAAAGCAAUGGAAAACUCGGGUGAAAAGUUAUUUCCUCUCCCUUCUGCAUUGUCCGUUUCUCCUUUCUCAUGUCCCCUUUCCCCUUUCCCUUUUUCACUUACUCCAUUUUGAUUUACCCUUUAGCAUUUUCAAUGUACCCAUUUCCAUUUUACCCUUUGGUCAUUGAUUUAUUUUUCAUGUUGUUGAAUGUGCGUCAUUCUUGUAAAACGAAGUAUGUUGUUGAUUUGAAUGGAAGAUUGAUCUCGCACCAGAGGAAGUUAAUUACAAAGACACCAUUAAAUUGGUUUUUACAAUUGUCCGACAAUGUUAAGGUAGAUAGAAAUCUAUUGAAUGAGUUAUUAGUUAGAUAGGUAGACUCUAGUGGUGGGUUUUUUUUUUUUCUGGAGAAAAAUUUGUAGAAUUCAAGGAAAUGGAUGUGUGCUUAAUAAGUAUAAUUGUAUUAUUU